UUUUUUCAUUUUCGCAGGUGAACUCCAGGAAGCAACAAUCACAGCAACCGACGACUCCGACCAAAACCCGCACCCUCCGGUGGAAUCGGUCACAAGAAACGACUAGAUCCAAUGUUCUCCGGUAACAUACGUAUUGCUCUCUCUGUUUUAAUUUUAGUUUAGUCUCUGUUUUGUGAUUGCAAAGUAAUUGAUAUUUUUUCUAGGUGAAGUAAUUAUUUCUUUAGAUUGUUUUCUGUUUGAUAGCCUUAUUUUAUUAUUAUCUCUGGGUUAGUUAUUUUGUAUAAAUUUGUUCAAAUUUUUUAGUGAUUCUUCCUUAGAAUGUUUACAUAUUGUUGAAAUUAUAUAGAUAUCUUUUGGUUCAUUUUUUUUAUUAUUAUUAUUAUAUUAUGUUUUACGUGAAAUUAUUUACCUUAUUCGCAUUAUAUUUUAUUGUUUAUCUUAAAAAAAAAUAGAUUAAUGCUUUGUUACGUUAUAAUUUUUAUGCACGGUAUGGAUUCAUCAUUAGUUUCUAUUAUUUAUUACACACUGUUUAUACGUGACUUUGCAGAAAUUGUGUUACUGUGGUAUUAUUUAAUUAAUUAUCAUUGUUUUAUUAGAUUGUUGAUCGCUUGGUGGUUCUUAUUUUCAUUAUUAUUAUUGGGAUAUGUUGUUAUAAUUUGAUGUUUGUUUAUUGCUUUGUAUUGUCCUUUAGUUAGUUGCGUAUGACUUUAUGCCAGAAAAAUAUUUCGUUGGCCAAUAAAAAAAUCUCCCUGUCGGUUUUGGAGGUCAAUCCAUUUAAAAAGAUGAAAAUUUAGUUUAUGUUUAUAUAUUUUAUUUGUUAAAAUUGGCCAAUGAAAAAAAAAAUUCGUCGGUUUUGGAGGCCUCCACAUUUUAAAAGAUGAAAAUUUAGUUUAAGUUUAUAUUUUUUGUAGUUAAAAUGGUCGAUGAAGAAAUUAACGUCGAUAUCCAAGGCCUCUCAUGUUAAUAAGACGAGUUUUUAUCUUGAAGUUAUUAUUUAAUUCAUUUAUUUUUAUUCAUAUUUAUUUAGUACUAACACUUUUACUAAAUGUCUUUACAGGUAAUUGAAGUUGCUUUCUAUUAAAGCCAUUCGAAUAAAGUUUGAAUUAUAUUAUUUAUUCAUUAUUUUGUAGAUAUUGGCAAUAGGCAAGCCUUAGGUCGAUUCUUACAUUAUUAUUUUAUUUUAUUAUUUGUGUAUAUUGCAUGUUGAUUGUACUUAUAUAUUUAUUUUUAUCUCUUCCUCAAUUUGAAAAAAAUGAAUUUAGUUAGAACCCAUAAUUGUGAAUUUUGAAGGAUGUCUAACACCUUCCUUUUGGAAUAACUUGAACUCCUUAUUUAGAAUCUAAUGAUUUCGUAGAUCAUUUAAUUAGUUUCCUAGUUUUUCUUAAAAUUAGGUGGCGACUCUUUUAAAAUUCGUUUAUUCUUUAAUUUCUUUUAAAAUUGACUUAAUUGAUUUUUUUUGAGUAACCAUGACUUUUUUUCCUAUUUGAAUAGAGUAGGGAUGUAAACAGAAUGACAAUUUCGCUGGAAAUAUAGAGGUGCUAACCAUUAUGAAUUUAUUUUUUCAAAUUGAGGAGCAUUUUCUUUUAUUGUGUUAUACCUUGUACUUUGUACAUUUUGUUGAUUAUUUGUAUAUUGUACUUAUUGUUUAUUCAUUUAAUUGUAUGUAUAUUGUCAUUUCAUGACAUAACUUUCGUCAAAUGGCAAAUAGAAUGCAUUAGGAUAAAGGCGGUUACGUGGCUUUCUACGGCUGUCCUUCAGAAAAGCACCUUCGAAUUCUUAUGAAGUGAUAAAUGAAUAGUUGGCGUGUGGUCAUCCAACGUCGUUUAUUAUAUUUCACCCCGUAGUUUGUCCAACUCGAGUAACCGGGUUUUAUCUAAAUCACUCUUAGUCAACUAGUGUAGAGCAAAGCCAAAAUCGUGUAUUUAGCGCAUUUGCUUGAGAUGACACAACACUCAAGACACAUUUGUAUAAGACAUGCAUUCAUUGUUUGUGUGUUAUGUGAUAUACCUGUUUUACGUGAAUAUGUUGUAUGAUAGUCCAUUAUUUUAAAGUUUUUAAGAGCUUUAGACAUAAAUAUCAAGUCACUUUUACCUUUUGAGUUUUUUUUGAAAGCUUGAAGGUUAUUGCUCGUCCGGAGCGACAAGGGACAAGAAAACUCGCAAAAAAUGAGUCUUAGGAUUUCACAAGACAAUAAUUAGUAGAAAAGACAAAUCAGGGGAGUCUUUGACUAUCAAGUCGCACUCAUCUAUUUGGUUAUUUCUUUUAUUUUUGAUGGCCCUGCUUUCACACAUUUCUUAUAUUUUUGUAGGAAAAUCGUCCUUGACAAUAUCGGGGAUGGUCAUAACAAUGUGUGGUUCUCGUGGAUAAUUGAGAGAAGACAUAGUUCCAAGAGACAUUUAAAAAGAAUACAAAAACAAGUGGUUAUUGUAGAAAUUCGGAGGCCACAUUCAACAAACAGUACAAAGAUCGACAGUUAAGAGGAUGCAAAACAUAUUAGUGCAAACAGUCAAAAGACACUCUCUAACUAAAGAUGUUAGCGGCACUAUACUUAUAAGCAUCACUCUAUGUUUGCCUAAAUUUUUCAAGAAUUUUAUGUCUUAUUUGAACGAAAUACGCGUACCUGAUUCUCAUAUUAAUGAGAUACGUAGGCAACUCUUCUUGAGUUUGGUAUUAUUUUUUCCAAAUGUCAAAAGAAAAAUAGAUUGUGCAUAUUUUCAAAGGCAUAUCUGCAUGAACUACGCACACCUGAUUCUCAUCUCGAUGAGAUACGUAGACAGCCCUGCUCGGGUUUGAUAUUUAUUCUUUCAAAAAAAACAUUGUGUUCAUAUUAUAAGAGUCAUGUCUUCAGCUCAAAUGGGACCAAUGCAGUUAGGAGCAUAUGCAAUAUUUGGUAUGAUGGAGAAGACUGAUUUUGUGGUAAAUCAUAGAUUUUUUUGGUACCUCUCAUUUGUACUUUUGUGAUGCUUGAAAAUUCUCUUGCAGACAUUCAAGAUAAGAAUAAAACCAACCUCAUGGUUUC
rnacentral:lncRNA from 1 species